AACUGUGUAGGUGGGGAGGUAAAUUAUUAUGCCCCUUAUGACCUGGGCUACACACGUGUUACAAUGGACAGAACAAAGGGCUGCAAGACCGCAAGGUUAGCCAAUCCCAUAAAUCUGUUCUCAGUUCGGAUCGCAGUCUGCAACUUGACUGCGUGAAGCUGGAAUCGCUAGUAAUCGCGGAUCAGCAUGCCGCGGUGAAUACGUUCCCGGGCCUUGUACACACCGCCCGUCACACCACGAGAGUUUGCAACACCCGAAGUCGGUGAGGUAACCUUUAUGGAGCCAGCCGCCGAAGGUGGGCAGAUGAUUGGGGGGG
rnacentral:rRNA from 1 species